AUACGUAGGUGGCAAGCGUUGUCCGGAAUUAUUGGGCGUAAAGCGCAUGUAGGCGGUUUGGUAAGUCGGGCGUGAAAAUGCGGGGCUUAACGCCGUAUGGCGAUUGAAACUGCUGAACUUGAGUGCAGGAGAGGAAAGGGGAACUCCCCGGGUAGCGGGGAAAUGCGUAGAUAUUGGGAAGAACCCCGGUGGCGAAGGCGCCUUUCUGGACUGUGUCUGACGCUCAGAUGCGAAAGCCAGGGUAGCGAACGGGAUUAGAUACCCCGGUAGUCCUGGCCGUAAACGAUGGGUACUAGGUGUGGGAGGUAUCGACUCCUUCCGUGCCGGAGUUAACGCAAUAAGUACCCCGCCUGGGGAGUACGGCCGCAAGGCUUAAACUCAAAUGAAUUGACGGGG
rnacentral:rRNA from 1 species